rfam:Oryza nivara chromosome 11, whole genome shotgun sequence.
CCCAUCGACGACGACGAGCUGGUCUCGUACAUCCUGGCGGGCCUCGACAUCGACUACAACCCGCUGGUCUCUACUGUGGUAGGCAGAUCUAAUCCAAUUUCUCUGAGUGAUUUGUACUCCUAGAUGGUUAGCUACGACA